rnacentral:rRNA from 1 species
AACGAACGCUGGCGGCAUGCCUAACACAUGCAAGUCGAACGAGACCUUCGGGUCUAGUGGCGCACGGGUGCGUAACGCGUGGGAACCUGCCCUUAGGUUCGGAAUAACUCCCCGAAAGGGGUGCUAAUACCGGAUAAUGUCUUCGGACCAAGGAUUUAUCGCCUUUGGAUGGGCCCGCGUUGGAUUAGCUAGUUGGUAGGGUAAAAGCCUACCAAGGCGACGUUCCAUAGCUGGUCUGAGAGGAUGAUCAGCCACACUGGGACUGAGACACGGCCCAGACUCGUACGGGAGGCGGCAGUGGGGAAUAUUGGACAAUGGGCGAAAGCCUGAUCCAGCAAUGCCGCGUGGGUGAUGAAGGCCUUAGGGUUGUAAAGCUCUUUUACCCGGGAUGAUAAUGACAGUACCGGGAGAAUAAGCUCCGGCUAACUCCGUG